UUGGCUAUGAGUUUGUUGACUGUGAUGUUUUUAUUUUUCAGGGAAAAGAAAACAAACCAUGGAUUUCUUUCUUUUCUAAAGCAUUUCUUUGUAUGAUAACCUCACAGUUGAGUGUAUACCUUGGUGAACCGUCCUUCUCCAAAACGUGGUAGUGGGAAUGAAGAACUGCUGAUCUGCAGUACCCGUUUUCUUGGGAUCAAGAGGCACGGUCUGCGGACAGGUAGAAUCCCCACUCGUGUGUGUGAAGCAGCAUGUGCCGUGACAUUGUGCAGCCACACAACAGCAGAGCUCUGAGUGCCAGCUGCUGGGAGCUGCCAUGGAGCUGCCUGCACCCAGGCUGUGAGAGCUUCCACAUUGGAGUUUCAUCUGGGGGAGUAACGCAUCCUCUGGGCACUGCAGGUUGA
rnacentral:lncRNA from 1 species